rnacentral:rRNA from 1 species
AUUGAACGCUGGCGGCAUGCCUUACACAUGCAAGUCGAACGGCAGCAUGGAGAGCUUGCUCUCUGAUGGCGAGUGGCGAACGGGUGAGUAAAGCAUCGGAACGUACCGUGUAGUGGGGGAUAACGUGGCGAAAGGUACGCUAAUACCGCAUACGAACCGAGGUGGAAAGCAGGGGAUCGUAAUACCUUGCGCUAUACUAGCGGCCGAUUUCCGAUUAGCUAGUUGGUAGAGUAAAGGCCUACCAAGGCGACGUUCUGUAGCGGGUCUGAGAGGAUGAGCCGCCACAGUGGGACUGAGACACGGCCCAGACUCCUACGGGAGGCAGCAGUGGGGAAGUUUGGACAAUGGGGGCAACCCUGGUCCAGCCAUGCCGCGUGAGAGAAGAAGGCCUGCGGGUUGUAAAGCUCUUUCGGACGGGAAGAAAUCGCACAGGCUAAUACCCUGUGUGGAUGACGGUACCGGCAUAAGAAGCACCGGCUAACUACGUGCCAGCAGCCGCGGUAA